rnacentral:rRNA from 1 species
GACGAACGCUGGCGGCGUGCUUAACACAUGCAAGUCGAGCGAUGAAGCUCCUUCGGGAGUGGAUUAGCGGCGGACGGGUGAGUAACACGUGGGCAACCUGCCUUAUAGAGAGGAAUAGCCAUCCGAAAGGAUGAUUAAUACCUCAUAAUAUUGUAGUUUCGCAUGGAGCAACAAUCAAAGGAGCAAUCCACUAUAAGAUGGGCCCGCGGCGCAUUAGCUAGUUGGUGAGGUAACGGCUCACCAAGGCGACGAUGCGUAGCCGACCUGAGAGGGUGAUCGGCCACAUUGGGACUGAGACACGGCCCAGACUCCUACGGGAGGCAGCAGUGGGGAAUAUUGCACAAUGGGGGAAACCCUGAUGCAGCAACGCCGCGUGAGUGAUGACGGCCUUCGGGUUGUGAAGCUCUGUCUUCAGGGACGAUAAUGACGGUACCUGAGGAGGAAGCCACGGCUAACUACGUGCCAGCCGCCGCAGUAAGAC